ACGUCAUCCCCACCUUCCUCCGGUUUGUCACCGGCAGUCUCAUUAGAGUGCCCAACUUAAAUGUAGCAACUAAUGACAAGGGUUGCGCUCGUUGCGGGACUUAACCCAACAUCUCACGACACGAGCUGACGACAGCCAUGCAGCACCUGUGUGUCGGCUCCCUUUCGGGCACGCCUCCGUCUCGAGAGGCUUCCGACCAUGUCAAGGGUAGGUAAGGUUUUUCGCGUUGCAUCGAAUUAAUCCACAUCAUCCACCGCUUGUGCGGGUCCCCGUCAAUUCCUUUGAGUUUUAAUCUUGCGACCGUACUCCCCAGGCGGUCGACUUCACGCGUUAGCUGCGGUACUAAGGAAGUCUCCUUCCCCAACACCUAGUCGACAUCGUUUAGGGCGUGGACUACCAG
rnacentral:misc_RNA from 1 species